rnacentral:rRNA from 1 species
UAGGGGAUCUUCGGCAAUGGACGAAAGUCCGACCGAGCAACGCCGCGUGAGUGAAGAAGGUUUUCGGAUCGUAAAACUCUGUUGGUAGAGAAGAACGUUGGUGAGAGUGGAAAGCUCAUCAAGUGACGGUAACUACCCAGAAAGGGACGGCUAACUACGUACCAG